CUUAAUUCCGAUGCACGCGAAGACCCUCCCAAGGCCUUGACAUGUAUUGCUAAAGCACGUGAAAAGCGGGGACUUCGGGGACCUUACACAGGUGCUGCAUGGCCGUCGUCAGCUCGUGUCGUGAGAUGUUUGGUUAAGUCCAGCAACGAGCGCAACCCCUGUGAAUAGUUGCCAGCACGUAAUGGUGGGGACUCUAUUCAGACUGCCCAGGUCAACUGGGAGGAAGGUGGGGAUGACGUCAGGUCGGUAUGGCCCUUACGCCUUGGGCUGCACACGUACUACAAUGCUCAGUACAAUGAGAACCGAUACCGCGAGGUGGAGGAAGUCUGCAAAACUGAGCCCAGUUCGGAUUGGAGGCUGCAACUCGCCUCCAUGAAGUUGGAAUCGCUAGUAAUGGCACAUCAGCUACGGUGCCGUGAAUACGUUCCCGGGUCUUGUACACACCGCCCGUCACAUCAUGGAAGCCGAUCGCACCCGAAGUAUCUGCGCUAACUAUUUAUAGAAGCAAG
rnacentral:rRNA from 1 species